rnacentral:snRNA from 1 species
AUAGGAGACCGCCGCUACGAG